GCGCCCGUAGCUCAAUUGGAUAGAGUAGCGGACUUCGAAUCCGACGGUUGCAGGUUCGAGUCCUGCCGGGCGCGCCA
rnacentral:tRNA from 1 species